rnacentral:ncRNA from 1 species
GAGAGCGACGUGCGGUGAAAGUCGCACGCGUCGUUCGGUGGGGGGUCGCCGGAAAAGGUUCCGUACCAACGGAAACCUCGCCGGCGGCCUACCCUGC